rnacentral:rRNA from 1 species
UACGAAGGGGGCUAGCGUUGCUCGGAAUCACUGGGCGUAAAGGGUGCGUAGGUGGCUUUGCAAGUCUGAUGUGAAAUCUCCGGGCUUAACCCGGAAAUGGCAUUAGAAACUGUGAGGCUUGAGGCUUGGAGGGGGAACUGGAAUUCUCGGUGUAGCAGUGAAAUGCGUAGAGAUCGAGAGGAACACCAGUGGCGAAGGCGAGUUCCUGGACAAGUCCUGACACUGAGGCACGAAAGCCGGGGGAGCAAACAGG